rnacentral:rRNA from 1 species
ACGAACGCUGGCGGCGUGCUUAACACAUGCAAGUCGAACGAUGAACCGCUUUCGGGCGGGGAUUAGUGGCGAACGGGUGAGUAACACGUGGGCAAUCUGCCCUGCACUCUGGGACAAGCCCUGGAAACGGGGUCUAAUACCGGAUAUGACUGUCCAUCGCAUGGUGGAUGGUGUAAAGCUCCGGCGGUGCAGGAUGAGCCCGCGGCCUAUCAGCUUGUUGGUGAGGUAGUGGCUCACCAAGGCGACGACGGGUAGCCGGCCUGAGAGGGCGACCGGCCACACUGGGACUGAGACACGGCCCAGACUCCUACGGGAGGCAGCAGUGGGGAAUAUUGCACAAUGGGCGAAAGCCUGAUGCAGCGACGCCGCGUGAGGGAUGACGGCCUUCGGGUUGUAAACCUCUUUCAGCAGGGAAGAAGCGAAAGUGACGGUACCUGCAGAAGAAGCGCCGGCUAACUACGUGCCAGCAGCCGCGGUAAUACGUAGGGCGCAAGCGUUGUCCGGAAUUAUUGGGCGUAAAGAGCUCGUAGGCGGCUUGUCACGUCGGUUGUGAAAGCCCGGGGCUUAACCCCGGGUCUGCAGUCGAUACGGGCAGGCUAGAGUUCGGUAGGGGAGAUCGGAAUUCCUGGUGUAGCGGUGAAAUGCGCAGAUAUCAGGAGGAACACCGGUGGCGAAGGCGGAUCUCUGGGCCGAUACUGACGCUGAGGAGCGAAAGCGUGGGGAGCGAACAGGAUUAGAUACCCUGGUAGUCCACGCCGUAAACGGUGGGCACUAGGUGUGGGCAACAUUCCACGUUGUCCGUGCCGCAGCUAACGCAUUAAGUGCCCCGCCUGGGGAGUACGGCCGCAAGGCUAAAACUCAAAGGAAUUGACGGCGGCCCGCACAAGCGGCGGAGCAUGUGGCUUAAUUCGACGCAACGCGAAGAACCUUACCAAGGCUUGACAUACACCGGAAACGUCUGGAGACAGGCGCCCCCUUGUGGUCGGUGUACAGGUGGUGCAUGGCUGUCGUCAGCUCGUGUCGUGAGAUGUUGGGUUAAGUCCCGCAACGAGCGCAACCCUUGUCCCGUGUUGCCAGCAGGCCCUUGUGGUGCUGGGGACUCACGGGAGACCGCCGGGGUCAACUCGGAGGAAGGUGGGGACGACGUCAAGUCAUCAUGCCCCUUAUGUCUUGGGCUGCACACGUGCUACAAUGGCCGGUACGAUGAGCUGCGAUACCGNGAGGUGGAGCGAAUCUCAAAAAGCCGGUCUCAGUUCGGAUUGGGGUCUGCAACUCGACCCCAUGAAGUCGGAGUCGCUAGUAAUCGCAGAUCAGCAUUGCUGCGGUGAAUACGUUCCCGGGCCUUGUACACACCGCCCGUCACGUCACGAAAGUCGGUAACACCCGAAGCCGGUGGCCCA